rnacentral:lncRNA from 10 species
AAAGCGCGACGAGAGGCGGCCGAGGCGGCCGGUGGGCGCGGCGCCAGCCCCGGCGGCGCGUUCCUGGCAGCGGCCCCUCCCCGCCGCGCGCUCCGCCCCCAACUUCUCAUUCACACUUUCCCCCCACCCCCCUCCCUUCUAAGAAGGCUGAUUUCUGGCAGAGGCGGGGGCGCCGCUUCGGGAGAGCGGGCAGUUCUAGGAGGCCGACCUGGAGAGCCUCCCGGUUCCCCUUCCCCUUUUCCCGGACCCCGCGGGGACACCCCCUCGCCGCCACCCGGGCCUCCCCGAGGGCCCAACUGCGGGUCAGGCGGCCCGGGCCAGCCGAAAGGGAAGUGGGGCUACCCCACAGCCAGGCAGCGGGGCUGGGGUCAGACCCGGGAGCCGGAGGUUGGAGACGUGCGACAGUCACCUGCGGGCAGAUUCCAGAGGGGAGACCCAGGGCUGCAGGGGACGCCCCUUCGUGGCAGCUACCCAGCCUCGGCCCACUGCCAGUGUUACGUGGCUGCAUGACCAUACACUUCUGGGUAGAGCCCAGUGGAAGACAAAGAAGACUCAAGGAAUAGCCCUUGAGAUCCUGAACCAACUUUGAAGGCAGAGAAGUGGGCUAGAAGAAGUGGGGUUGGAGCCUCCACCAAGGACAAGAAGGCCUUAGCCCCCUGCUUCCAGCUCAAGCUGAAGUGGCUGUGAGCUGAGCUAAGAAGACCCCACUUCGCCAGGAGGAGUGCCUCACGCCUGUAAUCCCAGCACUUUGAAAGGCCGAGGCAGGUGGAUCACGUGAGGUCAGGAGUUUAAGACCAGCCUGGCCAACAUGAUGGAGUCUAGCUCUGUCGCCCAGGCUGGAGUACAGUGGCGUGAUCUCGGCUCACUCCAACCUCCGCCUCCCGGGUUCAAGCGAUUCUCCUGCCUCAGCCUCCUGGGUAGCUGGGACUACAGGCAUGUGCCACCCCGCCUGGCUAAUUUUUUUGUAUUUUUAGUAGAGAUGGGGUUUCACCGUGUUAGCCAGGAUGGUCUCGAUCUACUGACCUCAUGAUCCAACCACCUCGGCCUCCCAAAGUACUGGGAUUACAGGUGUAAGCCACUACACCCAGCCCCCAUCUUGCUUCUAGCCUUUAAGCAGUCCUUGUGGAUUCCUGGGUGUAGGCCGAACUAACUUUGGGAAGGAAUUCAGUUCAUGGUUUGACUCUGAAACAAAAUUGACAACAGCCCUUUCCCGAAAAGACCCCCUUCUUGCCUGGGGUCCAGUCGGCCUUUGCAGGACUAACAAAUUAGCUAUAAGAUUAGAAAUAAAAGUUUAGGGUCAUGCAGCCUCUGGCUCCAAGAAUCUGAACCUCCCCAAAUUGCUCCUGGGGAUAACAUCACUAUUGGAAAACCGCAGAUCAGUGCGUGAGAUAUUUUGCAGACUCUGCAUUCAUGGAUCAGCUGACACCACCCAGACCGGUUAUCUGGCUCAACCAGUUCUGCCAUCCCACCCAGGAAUAGAAGAUAGCAAGAAAAAUUCACUUCAACCUUCUACGAUUCCAUCUCCAACCUGACCAAUCAGCACUCCCCACUUCCCAAGCUCCUUUACUAGCCAAAUUCUCUUUAAAAACUCUGAUCCCCGAAUGCUUGGGGAGACUGAUUUGAGUAAUAAUAAAACUCUGGUCUCCCGCACAGUGGGCUCUGCGUGAAUCACUCUUUCUCCAUUGCAAUGCCUCUGUCUUGAUAAAUCAGUUCUGUCUGGGCAGCAGGCAAGGUGAACCCAUUGGGCA